AGUGAACGCUGGCGGUAGGCCUAACACAUGCAAGUCGAACGGCAGCACAGUAAGAGCUUGCUCUUACGGGUGGCGAGUGGCGGACGGGUGAGGAAUACAUCGGAAUCUACUUUUUCGUGGGGGAUAAUGUAGGGAAACUUACGCUAAUACCGCAUACGACCUACGGGUGAAAGCAGGGGAUCUUCGGACCUUGCGCGGUUGAAUGAGCCGAUGUCGGAUUAGCUAGUUGGCGGGGUAAAGGCCCACCAAGGCGACGAUCCGUAGCUGGUCUGAGAGGAUGAUCAGCCACACUGGAACUGAGACACGGUCCAGACUCCUACGGGAGGCGGCAGUGGGGAAUAUUGGACAAUGGGCGCAAGCCUGAUCCAGCCAUACCGCGUGGGUGAAGAAGGCCUUCGGGUUGUAAAGCCCUUUUGUUGGGAAAGAAAAGCAGCAGGUUAAUACCCCGCUGUUCUGACGGUACCCAAAGAAUAAGCACCGGCUAACUUCGUG
rnacentral:rRNA from 1 species